rnacentral:rRNA from 1 species
CUGCAGCCCGAGUGGUGAUCGAUUUUAUUGAGCCUAAAGCGUCCGUAGCCGGACUAGUAAACCCUUGGGUAAAUCGGGCAGCUUAACUGUCCGACUUCCGAGGAGACUGCCAGACUUGGGACCGGGAGAGGUCAGAGGUACUCCAGGGGUAGGGGCUAAAUCCUGUAAUCCUUGGGGGACCACCAGUGGCGAAGGCGUCUGACUAGAACGGAUCCGACGGUAAGGGACGAAACCCUGGGGCGCAAACCGGAUUAGAUACCCGAGUAGUCC